rnacentral:rRNA from 1 species
UGAACGCUAGCGGGAGGCCUAACACAUGCAAGCCGAGCGGUAGAGAUUCUUCGGAAUCUUGAGAGCGGCGUACGGGUGCGGAACACGUGUGCAACCUGCCUUUAUCAGGGGGAUAGCCUUUCGAAAGGAAGAUUAAUACCCCAUAAUAUAUUAACUGGCAUCAGUKRAUAUUGAAAACUACGGUGGAUAGAGAUGGGCACGCGCAAGAUUAGCUAGUUGGUGAGGUAACGGCUCACCAAGGCGACGAUCUUUAGGGGGCCUGAGAGGGUGAUCCCCCACACUGGUACUGAGACACGGACCAGACUCCUACGGGAGGCAGCAGUGAGGAAUAUUGGACAAUGGGUGGAAGCCUGAUCCAGCCAUCCCGCGUGCAGGAAGACGGCCCUAUGGGUUGUAAACUGCUUUUAUCUGGGGAUAAACCUACUUACGUGUAAGUAGCUGAAGGUACCAGAAGAAUAAGCACCGGCUAACUCCGUGCCAGCAGCCGCGGUAAUACGGAGGGUGCAAGCGUUAUCCGGAUUUAUUGGGUUUAAAGGGUCCGUAGGCGGACUAGUAAGUCAGUGGUGAAAUCCGACAGCUUAACUGUCGAACUGCCAUUGAUACUGCUAGUCUUGAGUAAGGUUGAAGUGGCUGGAAUAAGUAGUGUAGCGGUGAAAUGCAUAGAUAUUACUUAGAACACCAAUUGCGAAGGCAGGUCACUAAGUCUUAACUGACG